rnacentral:lncRNA from 1 species
UUCACAUCCCUUUUAAAACGUGGUCCCUGGAACCAUCAGAUUAGCACUGAAGACAGUGGAUGUUCACUUCAAACUUGUGGAUAUGAUUCUGUACUCUAACCUCAGACAAAGUUAAGCUUUUUGUGGAAGAGGUGAGUUGGGGUUGGGUGACAAAUCCCCUCUAACAAGCCAUUCCUGAAUUGUUUUCAUCAGCCAGUUGUUCUCUUAUCAUGAGAGAAUUAACCCACAGGAUCAGUGUAACCGCAUCCCUGACCAGGUGAUCACAGUGACUGUCUCCUGCACAGAUCUCAAACUCCACGCCUGUCCUCCCACCCCAUCAUGGUCCCUAAAAAUGGCAAAAUUAAUCUCUUUCCCUUUGAUACUCUCACGUCAACAAGUAUGUUGCUGUUCAAGAUGUUUGU